UACUGUAAACCGACACAGGUGAUCAGGUAGAGAAUACCAAGGCGCUUGAGAGAACUCGGGUGAAGGAACUAGGCAAAAUGGUACCGUAACUUCGGGAGAAGGUACGCCGGUUUGGGUGAUGGGACUUGCUCCUUGAGCCUGGGCUGGCCGAAGUGACCAGGUGGCUGCGACUGUUUAUUAAAAACAUAGCACUGUGCAAACACGUAAGUGGACGUAUACGGUGUGACGCCUGCCCGGUGCCGGAAGGUUAAUUGAUGGGGUUAUCUUCGGAGAAGCUCUUGAUCGAAGCCCCGGUAAACGGCGGCCGUAACUAUAACGGUCCUAAGGUAGCGAAAUUCCUUGUCGGGUAAGUUCCGACCUGCACGAAUGGCGUAACGAUGGCCACACUGUCUCCACCCGAGACUCAGUGAAAUUGAAAUCGCUGUUAAGAUGCAGUGUACCCGCGGCUAGACGGAAAGACCCCGUGAACCUUUACUAUAGCUUCACACUGGACUCUGACCUUACUUGUGUAGGAUAGCUGGGAGGCUUUGAAGCGGUGGCGCCAGCCAUCGUGGAGCCAACCUUGAAAUACCAGCCUGGUAAUGUUGGGGUUCUAACUCAGGUCCGUAAUCCGGAUCGAGGACAGUGUGUGGUGGGUAGUUUGACUGGGGCGGUCUCCUCCCAAAGAGUAACGGAGGAGCACGAAGGUGCGCUAAUCACGGUCGGAAAUCGUGAGGUUAGUGUAAAGGCACAAGCGCGCUUGACUGCGAGUCUGACAAGACGAGCAGGUACGAAAGUAGGUCUUAGUGAUCCGGUGGUUCUGUAUGGAAGGGCCAUCGCUCAACGGAUAAAAGGUACUCCGGGGAUAACAGGCUGAUACCGCCCAAGAGUUCACAUCGACGGCGGUGUUUGGCACCUCGAUGUCGGCUCAUCACAUCCUGGGGCUGAAGCCGGUCCCAAGGGUAUGGCUGUUCGCCAUUUAAAGUGGUACGCGAGCUGGGUUUAGAACGUCGUGAGACAGUUCGGUCCCUAUCUGCCGUGGGCGUUGGAGAAUUGGGGGAAGCUGCUCCUAGUACGAGAGGACCGGAGUGGACGAACCGCUGGUGUUCGGGUUGUGUCGCCAGACGCAUUGCCCGGUAGCUACGUUCGGACAGGAUAAGCGCUGAAAGCGUCUAAGCGCGAAGCCCCUCCCAAGAUAAGUUCUCCCUGACCCCUUGAGGGUCCUGAAGGGCCGUCGAAGACUACGACGUCGAUAGCUGGGUGUGUAAGCGUUGUAAGGCGUUGAGCUAACCAGUACUAAUUGCCCGUGAGGCUUGACCAU
rnacentral:rRNA from 1 species